rnacentral:lncRNA from 1 species
UGUUUGAAUAUGAGCCUAUUGGUUGCCUCGUUAAAAACCUCGCAAGGAAAACCCGGUGGGACAAAACCUUGUAAGGGAAAAAGAGUACAACGCGCAAUAACUCCCCCUGAUAAGAACAUCAAUUUAUAUCCUUAAGUCUCCGCAUUCCGAUCUUGUGAACUAGCUUCUUGAAGGUUGACUUUGGUAGAGAUUUUGUGAACAAA